UGGGGAAUCUUGCGCAAUGGGCGAAAGCCUGACGCAGCCAUGCCGCGUGGAUGAUGAAGGUCUUAGGAUUGUAAAAUCCUUUCACCGGUGAAGAUAAUGACUGUAGCCGGAGAAGAAGCCCCGGCUAACUUCGUGCCAGCAGCCGCGGUAAUACGAAGGGGGCUAGCGUUGCUCGGAAUUACUGGGCGUAAAGGGAGCGUAGGCGGACAUUUAAGUCAGGGGUGAAAUCCCGAGGCUCAACCUCGGAACUGCCUUUGAUACUGGGUGUCUUGAGUGUGAGAGAGGUAUGUGGAACUCCGAGUGUAGAGGUGAAAUUCGUAGAUAUUCGGAAGAACACCAGUGGC
rnacentral:rRNA from 1 species